rnacentral:rRNA from 1 species
UUUUUAUGGAGAGUUUGAUCCUGGCUCAGGACGAACGCUGGCUGCGUGCUUAACACAUGCAAGUCGAACGCUGAAGCCUGGUGCUUGCACCGGGUGGAUGAGUGGCGAACGGGUGAGUAACACGUGAGUAACCUGCCCCUGACUUCGGGAUAAGCCCGGGAAACUGGGUCUAAUACCGGAUACGACC